CACUUUUUAGAGGGUGCAUGUAAGUUUUCUCUUUACAAGUGUAUCACUGUUAUUGUUUCUUUUUUUACGCAUAGAUGGUCCAGGAGGUUCUGGAGAAGAGUUAAAUGGGAGAGGAAAUAAUAGAGGAGUAUAGUAGAGCACCUUGACACACUGUACAAGAAGGCAUCUUCUGAAUAUCCUGGUCCAUGGAAGGAUACCAGUACGUAGUCAAAGAAAAAGAUAUGCACUCGGCAUUGUGACUGUUUCCUAAUCUCAGGGAUCCUUACUCCACCAAUGGCUAUGAACACUUCUACGAUGCUGGAAGAGGGAUGGGC